UACGUAGGGGACGAGCGUUGUCCGGAAUUACUGGGCGUAAAGGGCGCGCAGGCUGUGCUGCAAGUCAGCUGUGAAAUGUCUGGGCUUAACCCGGGCAUGCGGUUGAGACUGCAGUGCUGGAGUGCUGUAGAGGCAAGUGGAAUUCCCAGUGUAGCGGUGAAAUGCGUAGAUAUUGGGAAGAACACCGGUGGCGAAGGCGACUUGCUGGGCAGCAACUGACGCUGAGGCACGAAAGCGUGGGGAGCAAA
rnacentral:rRNA from 1 species